rnacentral:rRNA from 1 species
UACGUAGGGGGCAAGCGUUGUCCGGAUUUACUGGGCGUAAAGAGCGUGUAGGCGGCCAAACAGGUCCGUUGUGAAAACUGGAGGCUCAACCUCCAGACGUCGACGGAAACCGUAUGGCUAGAGUCCGGAAGAGGAGAGUGGAAUUCCUGGCGUAGCGGUGAAAUGCGCAGAUAUCAGGAAGAACACCUAUGGCGAAGGCAGCUCUCUGGGACGGUACUGACGCUGAGACGCGAAAGCGUGGGGAGCGAACAGG